AUGCUAUCUAUAUAACUAUAUAAUACAUUUCCAAUGGACAAAAAAGUAAUUUAACCCCUAAUUUUUAAGAUGGCAGACUAAAAGACUUAAAUAAAACCUAUAUUUUUACAUUUUUCUUCCCAUUUUAUCCUCCUCUCCUUAGAAUCGACAGCCACCAUCAUCAGUUUCUUCAUUAAUUCCCUGAAUCGUUUCUACCUUUAUGAUUUUCGUAUUCAACCGAGAAGUCUGUAUUGAAGUUUGAUCAUUCACAUUCCCUCACCUGCCCUUCAAUUGAAUGUUGCGACUCAAUCGUCUGCCUUUAAUUAGUCGCCUCAAUCCACCUCUUCUUAUUCAUAAACACUGCUUCUUCCUGUCAUUAUGCCGAUUCGGAUUUUCAAUUCCGCAUGAAGGAGACGGCAAUCGAUUCAUUCAAAUCCCCAGUUUCUCUUCGGUAACAAAAAUUCAACAAACAAUCGGCAAUCGUCGGUGUGCUUCUCGGUAGCUCGUUCAAAGGAACCGUUGAUGUCACUAAUAGUUACGCAGGUUUGGUUUUCGAUCGAUUCGGUUUUUGUUUUGCGUGUGUUCUAGGGCUUGUUUGGAUCUGAGGUGGUAAAUUUAGUUAUUGUAGAUUGUUUUUGGUGACGUGACAGUUUAAUUUUGUGUUUGUUUGUGGUUAUAGAUUAUUUAUGCUAAAGAUGUGUAUUCUAGGGUUUAUAUAAUCAUGACAUAUAUGACGGUUGAAUUGUUUUGGUUAUUGAGGAUUGUAUAUUGUUUAUGCUAACGAUGUAUUCUAGGGUUUAUAAAUUAUAAUCAUGACAGAUAUGACGGUUGAAUUUUUGUGCUUGUUCGUUGAAUCGAAGUUCUACAGGGAAAUGGGAUUUGCUUCAAAUGCCAAAAAAAAAAACACUGGCUUUGUUCCCAUGGUUCAAUGUCCUCUUUUUCUUCUAGCCAGCAAGAUAUUCGUUGAUGCAACAUUUGGCGGCAGAGAGUGACUCACAAAUACAAAUGUGGGAAAGGAUUUCGAGAGACGAUUACAUGAAUAUGCAGUUGAAGAGUGUUUUACACCAUCAAGCUGAUUUUGACCUCAAUUUUUGACAAUGAUGGCAAAGAGUGGGUUAAUAGAAUAUAUGAUGAAAUUCGAGGAAGUAUUGAAAGCAGCAACUGUCUUUUGUUACUCAGAAAGUUACUGCACUAACAGGAAUUUUGAAAGAAAUUGGGACACCUGAACUGGAGACUGGUGCGAUUAAUGUUGCGCUAGAUCUUUAUGAUGUUAUCCAGCUUGAUUUUUUUAGUGUGAAUAUGAGGUUGGGAACUAAGUAGCACUGGAACGGGUACGGGAUCGGGGUACGGGGACGAUACGGGAACAAGGAACGGUAAACCUCAAAAUUCCAAGAUACGGGUACGGCAAUAAAAAAUAUAAAAAAUAAAAAUACAUUAAACAAAUUCCAAAAAUACUACAUCUAAAGGUAAUUAAUUAUCAAUAAUCAAAUCAUUUUCAAAUUCCGGUUCAUCAGAGAUCGGCAAUCGAUAGAGAAUUAGAGAUGAUGAGACUUAAGAGUUCAGAGAUUAGAGAAGCCGAAUAUGAUAGGUCUAUUUAUUUAAUGGCCGGUUGUGGAAUUUGAAAGGGUAAAAACCCUAAAAAUAAAUGGAAACGGGCUGGUUACUUCUACCAGAUACGUCCCCGACAUUGGAAACGUUUAGGAAACGUCCCCGACGAGUACCCAUGGUGUUUCUAUCCCCGACAAGUACCCGAGACGGGUACGGCCACAUAAAUGGAGUCCCCAUGCUACAUAGGUUGGGAAAAUGAUGAUUUAUGCAUUAGACCACGUUGUAUCGGAAUUGUCGGGAUUUAUAGAUUCAAAUGGGCCCGCUGAUGAUCUUCAAAAUCAAUUCGCACAGGUGCUCGACAUCUUUUGGUGAUUUUCCCUUUAUUUAUUAAGUACUCCAGUUCAUUGGUGAAUUUGAUGAUUAUUUAAGUUGUUAUGUCGAUCAAAUCUAUGUCAUCAAAGCUCACUGUUACCGACGAAGACGACUCCGGUACAAAAACGAAAGAGAUAAGCGGGCCAGUUCUGAUCGAUAAAUUCGCAUCUAAAAGGCCAGCGGUUUACCCUAUGAUCGCUCAAGCGGUUUUAGCACCACCUAAACCCGGAAAGGCCCCGGAUCCAGGAAAAUUUAACGACAAUUUCCUAAAGAAAAGUAGUGCAGCGGCGCAUAGGCCGAAAGGUAAAGACGGCGACAAUGAAAUUCACGAUGACGAGACGUCUAAGCUUAAUGUUGCGAUCCCGGGUGCGAAAAAGGGCAGAAAGUGGAGUAAAGCGAGUAGGAAAGCGAUUAGAUUGCGGUUAGCGCAUGAGGCUAAGCCCGUUAAGGUUGAACUCAUGGAAGUUGAUGAAGACGGUAUGUUAAUCGAUGAAUUAGCGUAUAAUCUGGCGGUUACUGAAGGUGAGAUUCUCGACCAUCUUUACGCAAAGGGUAUUAAGCCUGACGGGGUGCAAAUUGGAUAAAGAAAUGGUGAAGAUGAUAUGUAGAGAGUAUGAUGUAGAAGUUAUUGAUGUGGGUCCGGCUAAAAUAGAGGAAAUGGCGAAAAAGAAAGAUAUUUUGGAUGUAGACGAUCUUGAUAAUUACAAGAUCGACCACCUGUUCUCACUAUCAUGGGUCAUGUUGAUCACAGAAAAGUAAGUGUUUUUUACCGUAAGUUAGUUUGUUUAAAGAUUAAUAUGUGCUAAUCAGCUAAUGGCACUUAUAUGUUCUUUUGGUAUUUGUAUUUGACGGACAACACUUUUGGAUUAUAUCUGGAAAAACCAAGGGGUGCAAAAGGUAGGUCGGCAGUUGGCAAUAGAUGUAGAGGCGUUACAUUGAUUGAUUUGGACCAAGAACCACCGUGUGAAGUUGUUUCACUGUCUUCAAGUUGAAGAUUUUAAUCUUGAAUUGGAGAAUCAAAGCGGAGAGAAGGUGAAGCUGGGAACCGAAGACAAUUAACGGUAUAAUUAACCGUUAAAUCUUUAAUUAAGUUACCAAAUUAAGGAGCUAUGUUGAUGAUGGGACUAAAGUUGAUAAAGUUGUUUUGCCUCUAAAUAAUAUAAUCUAUAUAAAUCCCAAAGAAAAGGGGGCUGCCCAAAGAAAAGGAACAAUGUCAUCUUGGUGGUGGUUUUUGCUACUCUUUAGAUUUUGAUUCAGAGAAACAACAUGACUUUUAACAAGAAUCUGACUUCGUAACCACUUUAGAAUUUCUGUCCAGGAAUGGAGAGUGGUCAGAUUUCAAUUUGGAGAG